rnacentral:misc_RNA from 1 species
GAGCCAUGCCAUGCAUAUAUGCUGUCCUUUUGCUUGUCCAGUCCCCAUUCGACCUGAUUUUUCUGCCAAUUUUACUUCAAACGAACACCUUGGAUAUUUCACAACAGUCACGAUGCUUAGUUUCACUUGGGACUUUGCAUAUCCACGAGAUAGCGACUCUGCAAUAUAAAUUGCAAUCUGGUUAACAUCAACAGCUAAACAACCUGCUGUUUCAAAUUACAAGACUCAUUGAAGUGUGUAAAACCUAAUUUUAGCUGAGAACAUCCGUCCAAGAUCUGCUGCAAAAAAUGACAAAGAAAAUCAAAGAAUACAAGUAAUGUUGGGCUGGAUCACAACAUGAAAUGAAAUCAAUAGAGAAAAUAUUCUUUGAUUUGAAUUACUCAGAUCCAGAUUGUAGCCUGAAAAAUUUUGGUUUUUAAAUCAAAGAAAUUAUGCAGAGAAGUCCUCUUUUUUUUAUCACAACUGUGCAGAGAAGUUAAUUGUAUGCCUUGAGGUGGAAAACUUGGCAACCCGGGUUGUAUGACUUCUUGGCUGCAGCGUGCUCAAACUUCUUGAGAGCCACUUCAUUUUCUUCUAAGCUGGUCUGGAUGAAGUAUCGUGCCCACCAAGUUGAGCUCCUCAAUUUUGCUGCUCUUCCAAACUUGGACACUUCUGCAACUUUAGCUCUGUGCUGACCAAGAAAGCCUGUAAAUAUUACAAGUCCCUCUAUUGAUACCCUUGCCAAAUCUGGAAGCGUUUUGUUGAGGUAUCUUGGAGACAAGUAAUCCAAUGCAUCCGAUACAAUUACAAGAGAAAAUGAUUUUGGCCUGUAAGGAAGAGGAAACUUGAUAUCAGCAAAACGCACAGUGCCUUUCUGCACUAGAGCUCGGCAGUGACCAUCCACAUCCUCAAUAUCAUAUGGUUCCACACCCCAGGCUUCAGUUUCCUCUUCUUUCAGCAACUUAGAGACCACUGAACAAGUAUCAGGGCCAACAUGCAAAACUUUGCGCAUGCUGUCAAUAUAGGCCUUCUUCAAAACUGGAAUCGCUCACUGAACCUCUACCGUGCAUGUAAAAUCACCAGGACAAUAAGAAGAACUACAAAAUAGG